UGCCAGCCGCCGCGGUAAUACGGAGGGUGCACGCGUUAAUCGGAAUUACUGGGCGUAAAGCGCGCGUAGGUGGCCAAGUCAGUCAGAUGUGAAAGCCCUGGGCUCAACCUGGGAACUGCAUCUGAUACUGCUUGGCUAGAGUAUGGUAGAGGGGUGUGGAAUUUCCUGUGUAGCGGUGAAAUGCGUAGAUAUCUAUUGGAACGCCAAAGGCGAAGGCAAGCUGCUGGGCCGAAUCUGACGCUGAGACACGAAAGCGUGGGUCUCGAACGGGAUUAGAUA
rnacentral:rRNA from 1 species